UUUUAGUAACCAGAAAAUGGCUAAUGAGAAACAUAAAAAGGUUUGCAAUUUAAAAUCUGUCAUGGUUUAAUCCAGCAGGAAAUGGACUUUCAUAUUUACACAGCACACAAGGUAAAGCAGCACAUGCAGGUCAGUAAGACAAUCUGAAGCUUGGUGUCAUCUGCUGAAUAGAUUGAUGAAAGAUGCUGUGUGAAGCAACUAUUUUGUCUUUUUCCCCCAACAUAUCAAGAAGAGAAAGAGGAAAACAAGUGAGAAGAGAGCGAGAGUUUGUCUGUUGACACUUUCUCAUGGCAGCUGAAGUCUAAUUGUGUGUCAGACGGAAGUGACCUCUGCUUGUGCUGAAAGCUGAUUGGCUGAUGGCGAGGCAGUUCUGUCCAAACUGAUAGACCUGUUCCUUCCCCGGCUGUCCACCCGUGUGUCUUUGUUCCCUUCAUUCAUUGUCCCUCUGACCUAACUGUCCUCAAAACCGACUGCUGACCAGUGAUGGCGUCACAGUUUGUUACUUCCUCUGGUUUUAAAAUAGGACUCUGAACAACUCUGUGUGAGAAAAUUAA
ensembl:lncRNA